rnacentral:rRNA from 1 species
AGAAUCAACGCUGGCGGCGUGCCUAACACAUGCAAGUCGAACGAGAAAGUGGAGCAAUCCAUGAGUAAAGUGGCGACCGGGUGAGUAACACGUGACUAACCUACCUUCGAGUGGGGGAUAACAUCGGGAAACCGAUGCUAAUACCGCAUAACAUCGCAAGAUCAAAGCAGCAAUGCGCUGGAAGAGGGGGUCGCGGCUGAUUAGCUAGUUGGCGGGGUAACGGCCCACCAAGGCGAAGAUCGGUAGCCGGCCUGAGAGGGCGCACGGCCACACUGGAACUGAAACACGGUCCAGACUCCUACGGGAGGCAGCAGUGGGGAAUUUUUGCGCAAUGGGGGAAACCCUGACGCAGCAACGCCGCGUGGAGGAUGAAGCCCCUUGGGGUGUAAACUCCUUUCGACCAAGACGAUAAUGACGGUACUGGUGGAAGAAGCACCGGCUAACUCUGCGCCAGCAGCCGC